rnacentral:lncRNA from 1 species
GCCACCUUGUUUUCGUUAUCUUUCCCAUAGGAGAUGUUCCUGAGGGCCCCGCAGGCUUUGCGAUGGACCUCUGGCUUUGGAUGAUCGAGCAGGCCCACCAAGAUGGGGAUCCCCUUAAGGUGCCUCACGUCCUUUUUGAUUUUAUCAUUCUCGUAGCACAGGUGCUGCAAGUAGGCAGCGGCGUUAGACUUGACCGGGUCAAUCGGGUGGCUGAGCAUGGCAAUGACCUCGGGGAGGUCAGGGUCCCUCCACCUGGGGUCCUUGCGAAUGCUGUCAAUAGAGGGGGAGCGCUUCCCCAGGCGGUCGAUGCUGGCCAUGCUUCCUCGCUCUGGCUGUGCCAGCGGUGCCGCGUAGCUGCCGUGGAGGUAAGGGAUCCUCUCUUCCACCAUCUCUGUCUCAAUGGGGUCAUCAUAGCCCCUUCCUUUGUGAGGUCUUCCUCUCUCCGGCACACCUGCAGAUGUCCUUCGGUUCACAGUAGAAUAAUCAGGAUCCAGUUCAUAUCCUUCGUCAUCGACUCCAAGGCUG